ensembl:lncRNA
ACGGACCGAAAGAAAGGGACACCUACGAAUUGUCUGCAGAACCUGGGCGGUCUUCUGUUUCUGGAUUGGAGAUUGAGAAAUGAAAUUUCUGGGAUGAAUAAACAGCUACACAAGAUGGAAUGAUCAAGUCCUCCUGACAGUGAAAACUAUUUAACUGCUCAUGGUGGGAAGCAUUAGAUCUUCAUAUACCACACCUUCAGGGGAUUCGUGGGAAUUAUUGAUUGCUCUGGCAUGACUGAAGACAUGAAGGCAUUAAUAGUGUGUUUUCAAAGAAUGAUGAGCAUCUCAGAAUAUAACAGGAACUCAAUAGGACAGACAAUCUAAGAGGGUAUAUUUUUUGUACGGGAUAGAAACUCUUUCUUCAGGGAAGAAAGUCCAUGAUUACAAAGCACUAGUUGCUUGGGAUAGAAUGUAUGGUAAGUAAAUAUUAGUUGAAAUGAAGUAAAUGCCAGCAGUUUAUCUACAAUAAAUUCCAGGGAUCUGACCUCCCCUGAUCUCA